GAUGAACGCUGGCGGCGUGCCUAAUACAUGCAAGUCGAGCGAACAGACGAGGAGCUUGCUUCUCUGACGUUAGCGGCGGACGGGUGAGUAACACGUGGAUAACCUACCUAUAAGACUGGGAUAACUUCGGGAAACCGGAGCUAAUACCGGAUAAUAUAUUGAACCGCAUGGUUCAAUAGUGAAAGACGGUUUUGCUGUCACUUAUAGAUGGAUCCGCGCCGCAUUAGCUAGUUGGUAAGGUAACGGCUUACCAAGGCAACGAUGCGUAGCCGACCUGAGAGGGUGAUCGGCCACACUGGAACUGAGACACGGUCCAGACUCCUACGGGACGCAGCAGUAGGGAAUCUUCCGCAAUGGGCGAAAGCCUGACGGAGCAACGCCGCGUGAGUGAUGAAGGUCUUCGGAUCGUAAAACUCUGUUAUUAGGGAAGAACAAAUGUGUAAGUAACUAUGCACGCCUUGACGGUACCUAAUCAGAAAGCCACGGCUAACUACGUG
rnacentral:rRNA from 1 species